UAAUUAUCAUUUUUCUUCGUA
rnacentral:piRNA from 1 species